GAUGAACGCUGGCGGCGUGCCUAAUACAUGCAAGUCGAGCGAACAGACGAGGAGCUUGCUCCUCUGACGUUAGCGGCGGACGGGUGAGUAACACGUGGAUAACCUACCUAUAAGACUGGGAUAACUUCGGGAAACCGGAGCUAAUACCGGAUAAUAUAUUGAACCGCAUGGUUCAAUAGUGAAAGACGGUUUUGCUGUCACUUAUAGAUGGAUCCGCGCCGCAUUAGCUAGUUGGUAAGGUAACGGCUUACCAAGGCAACGAUGCGUAGCCGACCUGAGAGGGUGAUCGGCCACACUGGAACUGAGACACGGUCCAGACUCCUACGGGAGGCAGCAGUAGGGAAUCUUCCGCAAUGGGCGAAAGCCUGACGGAGCAACGCCGCGUGAGUGAUGAAGGUCCUCGGAUCGUAAAACUCUGCUAUUAGGGAAGAACAAAUGUGUAAGUAACUAUGCACGUCUUGACGGUACCUAAUCAGAAAGCCACGGCUAACUACGUG
rnacentral:rRNA from 1 species